UGGGGAAAAUUGCACAAUGGGCGCAAGCCUGAUGCAGCCAUGCCGCGUGUAUGAAGAAGGCCUUCGGGUUGUAAAGUACUUUCAGCGGGGAUGAAGGGAGUAAAGUUAAUACCUUUGCUCAUUGACGUUACCCGCAGAAGAAGCACCGGCUAACUCCGUGCCAGCAGCCGCGGUAAUACGGAGGGUGCAAGCGUUAAUCGGAAUUACUGGGCGUAAAGCGCACGCAGGCGGUUUGUUAAGUCAGAUGUGAAAUCCCCGGGCUCAACCUGGGAACUGCAUCUGAUACUGGCAAGCUUGAGUCUCGUAGAGGGGGGUAGAAUUCCAGGUGUAGCGGUGAAAUGCGUAGAGAUCUGGAGGAAUACCGGUGGCGAAGGCGGCCCCCUGGACGAAGACUGACGCUCAGGUGCGAAAGCGUGGGGAGCAAACA
rnacentral:rRNA from 1 species